AUUGAACGCUAGCGGGAUGCUUUACACAUGCAAGUCGAACGAGUGGUGGACGGGUGAGUAAUAUAUCGGAACGUGCCCAGUAGCGGGGGAUAACUACUCGAAAGAGUGGCUAAUACCGCAUACUAUUGGAGCGGCCGAUAUCGGAUUAGCUAGUUGGUGGGGUAAAGGCUCACCAAGGCAACGAUCCGUAGCGGCUUUGAGAGGACGCUCAGCCCGACUGGGCCUGAGACACGGCCCAGCCUCCAACGUGAGUCUCCAGUUUGGAUUUUUGGCCAAUGCGGGAAUUCUUGAUCGAGCCAUCCGCCGUGUAGGAGAAGGCUUUCGGGUUUUAACGUACUUUUGGCGGAGAAGCGGUAUCUGCAGAAUAAGCACCGGCUAACUACGUGCCAGCAGCCGCGGUAAUUC
rnacentral:rRNA from 1 species